GCCGGGUGUGGUGGCGGGUGCCUGUAAUCCCAGCUACUAGGGAGGCUGAGGCAGGAGAAUCGCUUGAACCUGGGAGGUGGAGCUUGCAGUGAGCCGAGAUCGCGCCAUUGCACUCCAGCCUGGGCGACAGAGCGAGAUCCUGUCUCAC
rnacentral:sRNA from 1 species